AUCGCUUCUUGGGCUUUUGGAUAAGAUCAUGUAUAGGACCUGUUCUUAUCAGCUGAAUAUCUGAUUCAUCUGCUAUCCAAGGACAAUAUAGUGAAUAGAUUUUUGGAAUUAGAAAAUGAAAUAGGAGCUUUCUUGGUCCUUUCCACACAUUAACCUAGUAUUGCUAUAUUUCCAGGAUUGAUGCACCAAAA